GGCUGGAGGCAAACACCGAGCUCCCCCUGAGUCGCUUGGGAGCAGGGAGGGUUCUGCUACCCUGAGGGGCCCUCCCCGCGGGGCAGAGGGUGGGAGGAACUCACGGCAUGUACUUCUGAAUGUAUGCUUGCCUUGAGGAACAACGACAGGACACAGGGAUGUGGACAUUUUCAAUCAGAUGGUUCUGUCCGACAGUGUCGGCACACAAAGCCUCCGAUUCUACACAGAAGAAGGAUGGUGGCCAUAGAGACUCCUGUCCUUCCAGCAUGAGGAUCAUAAGGAGAGCGGGCUGAAUUCAGAGCCAGAAUCUGAAGAUAAGCACAAGAGGAGAGCGUUCCACUGACUGACCUCUUUUUGUUUUCAAAUGAAGAGAAGCCAAGAAUAGGACGGCCUAGGAAGCUCAUCCUCGUCUAUGGCCAAAAGUUGGUUUCUCGUUUCUAGAAGAUGAAAGAUGUGAUGAUUUAGGAAAAAGCCAUUCUCUCUGCUUACUGCUUGCUGUUUGAGAUGUGCGUCUUCACACAUUCCUACCGACGUAUCUGACCGAUGCUGCCAAGAUUACCUGAUGGGAUGGACGCUAAUGCCUCUACAACCAGAAGCCCAAGUAAACUCUUCUAUAAGUUGAAUUAAUUAUGCUUUUUAAAAAAAAUCUUUAUUUUAUGUGCAUUGAUGUUUCGACUACAUGUAUGCCUGUGGGAGAGUGUCAGAGUCCUUAGGAUCGUGGCUACCAAUAGUUGUGAACCACCAUGUGGGUGCUGGGAAUUGAACCCGGGUCCUUUAGAAGAGCAGCCAGUGCUCUUAACCACUGGACCACUCCUCUAUAUCCCCAUCAUGGUGCUUUAAUUACAGCAAAGGAAAAAUAACAAACAUAACCAGGUUAGUCAGCGGGCACACUGAUGACAGAUCUUCCUAAGGGCAAUCAUUAGUGGGAGGGCUUACCCUGGAUGGGACAGCACUCUUCUGUGGGUUUGGGUCUUGGACAGGGUAAACGUAGAGAGGGAGUUGAGCACAAGCAAGCAAGCAUGGUCCAUUCUUUCUCUGCUCUUGGCUGUGGAUGUAAUGUGUCUAGCCGCUUCAAGUUUCUGCCUUGCAUCCCGUGCAAUGAUAGACUAUAAUCUGGAGUUGUGAGCUAAAACAAAACAAAACCCAUUUUCUCUCCGUAUGUUGCUUUUUGGUCAAAGUAUUUUAUCCCAGUAACAGAAAAGACAUGAGGACCGGCAAGAAGAGGACAUACCAUAGAGUCAGGAGCAGGAUGUAGUACCAAGUUGUAGAGGCCAGGGAGGAAUAUAGGCACAGAGCAGCCGCAGUCAGAAUGUGCAGGGAGAAGAGUGAGAGAGGAUGUAUCUAGGAGGUGAGCUGGCUCAAACAAUAACAGCCUGGUCUUGCUAUCUGAAGUUUACCUUCAGGCAGAGGGAGCCACUAACUGUCCUAGUAUGAAGGAAGGACACUGGGUGAUUUUUGCACUUGUGUGUGCGUGCGUGCAUGCAUGUCCCUCCUCUAGAGACUGAGCUUUGCACAUAUAUCACACGGCUUCAGUCCCAGUCCCAUGUUUUGGUUUCAAUCAAGUUUUAUACAAAUGUUUAAUGGGAAAAAUUAUGAGUUUAUUCUUUUAUUUCUCAUUAAUAAUAUUUUUGGGUUUUUAUUUGGUAAAUUCUAAAACAAGAUGAUUAUUUCAAAAGAGAAAUCCGCUUCACCCUGCCUCUGACUUUUCCACCAGACGUAAUCAGAAUCCUAGAGGAAGUCACAAGUUAAAGUUAGGACUCUGUUCAUAGUCGGUUCUGUUUCUAUAACAUCCAACAUACAGUGUCCAGCCCAAGUACAAAACAUUUUAGGAGGUUGGGGAUUUAGCUCAGUGGUAGAGCGCUUGCCUAGCAAGCGCAAGGCCCUGGGUUCGGUCCCCAGCUCUGAAAAAAAGAAAAGAAAAAAAAACAUUUUAGAAUUAAUGGAGUACCCAAGUUGUGUCCCUUCUGCAUAGCAUUAUAUGGAAAUUAAUAUACACAAGAGAAAAAAAAACCUGAUAGAUGUAAUCAAGUUCAGACAUUUUGGUUCUGAUAUCUUAUUUUUAACUUAUUUUAAUUGGCAUGUAAUGCUUGCUUGUAUUUAUAGGGUAGCGUGUGAUUAUUCAAUCCAUACAUGCAACGUGCAUAUAUCAAGUCAGCAAGAUUGGCCUUUCUGUCUUAUUGGACAUCUGUCAUGCUUCUGUGUCUGGAGCCUGCAAAGGCCUCUCUUCUAGCUCUUUGUAAAUGUGGAGUAAGUUGUGAAAACCAUAUUCACCAUGUUAUGUUAUCAUUGCUUUCUAACUGGUGUCCAUUAUUCAGUCUCCCUCUGUCCCACAUCUCCUACCUCCAAAGCCUCUUUCUACGACAUGCUAUUAUGUUAUGUUUUCAGGAAUCGAUUAUACGGAGGAGAAUGGGUGCACAGUAGUACUAGGGCCAGUGUGGAGGAUAUUGCAGUACCUAGAAAAGGAAAUGAUGUCGAUCCAAGCUUGCCAAGGGCAGCAGGGAUGCAGAGACGAGGGUCUGAGAGGCACAAAGCCGGUGCUCCAGGUAGGGCCAGAGAUGUUCUGAUGCUCCAGGCUUUGGUGGGCAGGGGUGGGGGGUAACGGGCAAGGAAGGAAGACCUGUUGGGCAGAGCCGAGGGCAGAAACCCUUCCAUUCCCCUGAGGACCUCCUGGAUGUCACUGGAGCUGGGGACUUUGCUGUGCAAUGCAAAGGAGGUUUCAUGAUGAAGUCAGACCCUGGCAGCUAGAGGGGAUGGGGCUCUUAACACCUGCCAGACUGUUAAGACCGAAUCCGUGUGGAACCUAGGCUGCAAAUGAGAGGUCUUCAGUACCUGCAGCCAAGCAGGGCCUGACAAGCUGUUUCCAUGGAGACACAGAGCUGUGUGCAGGCGUAGGCGGGUUGAUCCAUUCCAGAGCCUUGGGUCACAAGGCUGUAGCGAGCUAACAGGAAGAAGGUGUUAUCGAUCAGGAAAGGAUGUACAAAGCAUUGGCAGCUAAUUGAGGUUGUGUUGUCAUAAUUCUGGAUUAAGUUUAACAAAUCAGGGUCCUGUUGGCCCCCACUUAGCAAGAGCACAAGGAAGCAGACACUAAUUCAGGCUAACUCUGAAUGUGCAGACACCCAGCCCAAGCCACUCUGUACCCUUGAGCUCUUAAGUAGCUACAUAUCUCUUCCAACUGUCGGAGACACAGACAGCAACCGGGGAGCUAAUCUUUUUUUCAUUUGUCAUAGGAAUGGCAGAAAUAUUCAGGAAACCUAAGCCCGACUCUUGAAAAAAAAAUUCAGAUGCUGGCAGAGCCCCAAAAUGGAUAUUGGGAAGCAUUUUGAGAACUACUGUUCACAGAGAGCACAGAGAGAAGCUUCCAGCACUUUGGAGGCAGAGGACACUCUCACGUCCAGAAGGUCAUAAGGGCACCUGGAUAAGACAUCGUGAGUGAACCUCUAUGGCUUCUCCAGUAUUGAAAGCCACAUCAGUUGCACACGUUUCUAAGAGGGUCCGCUGGUGCACGUGUUUAUGAAGAUGUCUCACAAUAUAAAGAGAUUUCAGUUCUUUGUGCCACCCACAUCCUUGAGUAUGUCUCCUGAGACACACGUGGGAGUCUGUCUGGGGUAUAAAUGAGGAUGGACGUUGCCCGAAAUGCAUAUGGGCUUUUGACUUCACCCGGUUGCUUUCGGGACUAUUGUGCACAAUGGCCAAAUGGAGGCUCUCUUUUUCAUUUACCAAUUACUCUUCUUAAAGAAAUACGUGAGGAGGAGCGUUAUGGGUUCCCAAGGUAUGAGAGACUGGUUCUUGCUCUGAAGAAGGUUUCAUUCUCAUCCGAAUGGAGAGACAUUUGCACUUGAAGGCAGCUGUGAUUUGGGAGCCCAGGAUGUGAGGAAUGUGUGCCACUGAAGUAAGGACCCACCCAGAAUGUGGGCUAAGCCUCCCCUCUCAUGACCCUCAACUGAAAUCACAGCUUUUGCCAUGGAAUGCAGAGAUGAAUCCUGGGGCAGCAGCGAGUGUGAGAAGAGAAGGGAAGCAGAAUAAGACAAGGUGUUCUGCCAGAGGGAGCUUGAGUAUCCACGGAAAGACGGAAUGCCUGCACAAGUGGCUUCGCAGAACAGUAAUGUGCUACAGGAUGAAGCCAUGCCUCAAGAAGGUUCUUGGAUGCUGUAAGAAGGGACCGACGGGACUGGAGAGAUGGCCCAUGGUUAAGAACACUGGCUGUUGUUCCAGGGGAUCCAGGUUGAAUUCCCAGCACCUACAUGGCAGCUCACAACUGUCUGUCACUCCAAUUCCAGAGGAUACGGCCACCCUCACACAGACAUACAUGAAAUGUCUGAGCUACUGAAGGGAGAUAAAGUUGCAUGCUGGUUAAAUGGCUUCUAGCUGUGAGUGCAAACAUGGAAAUGUACUGAGCCAUUGCAAUGAGGAAGCUGCUUCUCGAACCUAAGAAGGCUGCAGCAGAGCUGCGGGCAAGUUCCUGAAGCAGCUGAGGUCAUUCACCCUUCUCGCUGGCUCAGGCCCGGCCUUCAGCAAGAUUAAGAUUUGGAUUUGGAAAACCUGAGUGACCCAUCAAGACAAAAACAAUGUGAUAAGAAAUUUUCUUUCUCCUCUUGUUUUCCCUGUGUCUGGAGUUUCUUCAAGAACAUGAAAUGAGAGAGAAAACCAUAACUUAAAGGUAUUGAGAUAUGAGAACAUUUUGAGAAGGCACUUGGGUGGCGCUCUGUCUGUAACUGAACCUUGCCUGUGCUUGGCUGGCACUCCCUUUACAGCACGCAGAGUCUUGAGGUCCAAAGCCCCUCUUCCUGCAAAAUGGUUAUCCUGGUGGCAUUGCUCUAAAUAGAAGGACUUAGGUAGGGUAAACAGGAGGAUUGUGAGCAAGCCUUAAGGUUUCUGAUCACUAGAAAAGCAGAUCUUUUAAGAGGGUUUACCAGGAACCUCAGCCUUUAACCUUUCCUGCAAAGGUCAGCUACCACAGGCAUGGGCAUCUAGUUCCUGCUCAGUCCUGAUGGCCUGUAUCAGCUCAAGUCCCCACCCCGAUGACUGUCAUAUCUGCUUGGUUUCCCACCAUUUUGCUUUUCUCUCUACCUUGGCAGUUUGAGCCCCAGUGAAUCUUUCUUUCUGCCCAUAGACCAGUCUAGUUCAGUAAUUUCUCUGCCCCGAGUCUCAGGUAUUAAUCUGCGAGGACGGCCUCCAUCUGGGGACUUUUUUCUGUUCUCAGUGAAGUGGCACAUUCAGUUCCUGGUGCAGCGUCCGUUCGUUUCUUUUAGUCAUUUCACAGCUGUUUGCUGGGAGAAGCAAGACUGAACUACUUGGGGCUGAUUUCACAAGGAAGCUGAAAACAAGGCCUUCCCAGUUCCCGUUUGUGAUUUUCAAGUCAAUAAAGCAUGUCUGUCUUGGUGGAUGUUUCUCUCUAACUGGCUUCAGUUGUCUGCUGAGCUGUCUACCUGGCUUCCCCUUGGCUGGGAAACCUCGGUUUGUGGCCAUCCUGUUACAGGUGGAUGGCUGCCCGGCUGCCCACCGUUGUUUGUUAUUAAAUUGGUGAUGCAAUUUCUGUUUGGCAGUUUGUGACUGCAAGGUUAUUCAAGGAUGCUGUUUAGAAAUACAAGUGAGCUACAGAACGAGAUGUCGGAGCGGAUGGUCGGUUUGUUAUGUUUUUUUCUUUUUUUUUUUAAGGCUGUUCAGGGACAGUAGACGAAUGCACAAAUUUGUUAUUGUGGAUUGUUAUGAAUCCCAAAGACGCACAUACGGGGAUCAUUAUUGUAGAUUGGCUUGUGACAGCUGGCCCUGAUUUACUUAUUUCCUCAAGAAGACACUUUGAACAAUUAUUGAAAUGCCUCCCCUCUGUAAUUAUAAUAAUAAUGAUGAUGAUUUUGCAACUGAAUAUGCAAUUCAGGGCGUACACACUCAACUGUUUUUAGCUUGUUUCUCUUUUUACAUUGAUGUCAGCUGCUGUCUUGGCUUGUGAAGAGCUGAGAAGGACUUUCCAACCAAGGGUCAAUGAGCUACAUGAAGAGUCAUCUGUGGCCAACCCGGGAAAUUACUAAAAUAAUAAUUUUAGUAAUAUACAUUACAAUACAAUAAUAUUACAGUUAGUAUGUAAGGAGCAAGCUAACUAUGGGCAGGGUUCUUUUUUCUCCUUUUU
ensembl:lncRNA